rnacentral:rRNA from 1 species
AGUGACGUCAAGUCAUCAUGGCCCUUACCGGCCGUGGGCGUACACACGUGCUACAAUGGUCAGUACAAAGGGUUGCCAAGCCGCGAGGUGGAGCUAAUCCCAUAAAACCGAUCGUAGUCCGGAUCGCAGUCUGCAACUCGACUGCGUGAAGUCGGAAUCGCUAGUAAUCGUGGAUCAGAAUGUCACGGUGAAUACGUUCCCGGGCCUU